rnacentral:rRNA from 1 species
UGGAACAUGUGGUUUAAUUCGAUGAUACGCGAGGAACCUUACCUGGGCUUAAAUGGGGAGUGACAGCUGUCGAAAGAUGGUUUCUUCGGACACUCUUCAAGGUGCUGCAUGGUUGUCGUCAGCUCGUGCCGUGAGGUGUCGGGUUAAGUCCCAUAACGAGCGCAACCCUUACCGUUAGUUACCAUCAGGUUAAGCUGGGGACUCUAGCGGGACUGCCACCGUAAGGUGAGAGGAAGUGGGGAUGACGUCAAAUCAGCACGGCCCUUAUGUCCAGGGCUACACACGUGUUACAAUGGCCAGUACAAAGGGCAGCUACCGGGUGACCGGAUGCUAAUCUCUAAAGCUGGUCUCAGUUCGGAUCGAAGUCUGCAACCCGACUUCGUGAAGCUGGAUUCGCUAGUAAUCGCGCAUCAGCCAUGGCGCGGUGAAUACGUUCCCGGGCCUU